rnacentral:rRNA from 1 species
AUCUUCCACAAUGGGCGAAAGCCUGAUGGAGCAACGCCGCGUGAGUGAGGAAGGUUUUCGGAUCGUAAAACUCUGCUGUAAGGGAAGAAGAAGUACAGUAGUAACUGGCUGUACCUUGACGGUACCUUAUUAGAAAGCCACGGCUAACUACGUGCCAGCAGCCGCGGUAAUACGUAGGUGGCAAGCGUUGUCCGGAAGUAUUGGGCGUAAAGCACGCGCAGGCGGGCCUUUAAGUCUGAUGUGAAAGCCCACGGCUCAACCGUGGAGGGUCAUUGGAUACUGGGGGACUUGAGUGCAGAAGGGGAAAGUGGAAUUCCAAGUGUAGCGGUGAAAUGCGUAGAGAUUUGGAGGAACACCAGUGGCGAAGGCGACUUUCUGGUCUGUAACUGACGCUGAGGCGCGAAAGCGUGGGGAGCAAACA